rnacentral:rRNA from 1 species
ACUCCUACGGGAGGCAGCAGUGAGGAAUUUUGCGCAAUGGGCGAAAGCCUGACGCAGCAACGCCGCGUGAGUGAUGAAGGCCUUCGGGUCGUAAAGCUCUGUCAAGUGGGAAGAACCUAUAUAAUGUUAAUACCGUUAUAUACUGACGGUACCACUGAAGGAAGCACCGGCUAACUCCGUGCCAGCAGCCGCGGUAAUACGGGGGGUGCAAGCGUUAUUCGGAAUCAUUGGGCGUAAAGAGCACGUAGGCGGCCUGGUAAGUCAGAUGUGAAAGCCCGGGGCUUAACCCCGGAAGUGCAUUUGAUACUGUCAGGCUUGAGUAUGGGAGAGGGAAGUGGAAUUCCUGGUGUAGAGGUGAAAUUCGUAGAUAUCAGGAGGAACACCGGUGGCGAAGGCGACUUCCUGGACCAAUACUGACGCUGAGGUGCGAAGGCGUGGGUAGCAAACAGGAUUAGAUACCCUGGUAGGCUCUGCU